rnacentral:siRNA from 1 species
UCAUUUUUCCUCCGCGUUCU